CACAGACGAGAAACACGGUUGUUAUGGAUGUGGAAAUGAGAGCGGAUGGACAGACACAUCAGUCACAUUUAAUCGACACACAAUGUCUAAACUGGAGAUUUUGAGUGUUUUUCUAACAGAGAGGUUAACAUUAGCCGCGCAGGAGAUAUUUAAGGCUGUGGAAGACAUAUUUUCCGAGUAUAAUGAGGAGAUGUGUCGCUCCAGACAGGAGAUUGAGCUUCUCAAGAGGAGACUGCAGCAGGCAGGAGUUCAGAUGGACUCUGUAGCGCAGCUUUCCUCCACUGAGACUCAAGGACAGAAAUUCACGCAGAAAUCUUCAGAGGAAUGGAGUGAACGUGACUUGGAGGAUACGGCGAUGCAUGCGAUACUAGAUAUUUGUACAAAGGAGGAGGAGAAUGAAGAGGACAUGCCUGUGUGCAGUGAAUCAACAUCUUUCUCAUCAUGUAUGGGCAUUUGUUGUGAUCAGACGCCCAGCAAAGACGCUGAAACCCGACACAUGAACAGUACUGAGAACAGUUUUCACUUUAUUGACCAAAUACCUCAAAUUAAAAAUGAGCCUGAGACUAAUAGUGAAACAGAUACCAACUGUCAAAUACAGCAGAACAUCACAAAACACAGCUCAGCUGACGGUGAUGCUUCCCGUAAAGUCAAAGUUAGCCACGCUGGCUCUCCCAGACACGAGAAACAAACAUUUAAUCUGCCCCUCAGAAAUCAAGAGAUUUUGUUGCGGCAUCGGAUGGAGCUGUCCCGGAUAAGAGAGAGAAUGUCUUUGAAAACCCAGCACUGUAAAAGUGAGAAAAAACAACUGUCUGUCUGUCAGGAUGAAGUGUCAAAAUCUGACAAGCAGAAACCCGACAAUGCAAGAUACAGUCAGGCCUGGAGGGAUCGUUUGAAAAAAGACCCCGUAAAAUUUGCUGAGUUCAAAUCUUUUGAAGCUGCAAGAGCAAGAGAGUAUAGAAGAAAGAGGACUGCUACUGCUAUAGAAAUUGAUAAGGAUAAUAAUCGUGAGCGACAGAGACGAUUCAGAACCAAAAAGAAGUUACAGCAGUGUAAAGCUGAUGAUAACCCUACGCCACCUAAAAAAACUAAAGUCUUAACAGAAGAAGAGAAGAUGAAGAAACGCGAGUAUGAUAGGAUAAAGAAAAGAGAAGAGAGAGAGAGGAUGGGAGCAGAGAAGAAAAGACAAAUUCGUGAAAGAGAUGCGUCAAGAAAGAGGGAAAAAAGAAACAAGACAAAAAAUCUUACUUUCACUCCACAUACAAAUGUUGGCUCUAAAGUGUACAGCUGGAUCUAAAUCUUCAAAACGGAUAGGAGUGUUAUGGAUGAGGGGAAAGAAUUCCAGCUGAGGCAGAGAAGUUGGACAUUAUAACAGACUUCAUCCAUUGCUGUACUCCACAUAAACAAGCAGCUUUGUAUCUGAAAAAAGCUCGACGAGAAAUUGAUUUUGAUGACCCAUUUCAAAAAGAACUUUAAUCCACGAUUUAAGCUCUAUUAAAGGAUACUGCGUCCUUGGAGAAGCCUGACUUUCACUAGUUUGUUGGUUGUCAAAAACUACUGAAUUCAACCAAUUUUAGCGAAGACACUUUCAUCUUUGUCCAGUAUAUCGCACUAAAUUAUCAAAGUCCUAAUCCAAUUAAAGUUUAAGAAGAAACAGAAUUAGCUAAAGUCUUCAUCAUUCCGUCCACAUCUCCUGCAUCUGCUGGAUUCUUCUUUGUCAAGAAGAAAGACAGAAGUCUUUGAACUUGUAUUGAUUAUAGAGGUUUAACUGAAAUAACUGUUAAGUUCCAGCAUCCUCUGCCUUUCGUUCCCUCAGCUCUCGAACAGCUUUGCUGAUGCAUGGAUGUUGGGAACAAUAUAGUUGCUUUUUGUCAAAAUCCUAAGGUAUCACAAGAACGUCUUUACAUGAGGACUCUAAAGAAACGGCCAAAAGAUUCCACAUGAAGAUGAAAUUCAGCAUGACCAUCCUAUAACACAAGUGAAGUUUGCCCUUGCUGUAACUCAUGUUUUCCUUUCUGUACGGGGUCUCCUGGGCUCCUGGGUACUUGCCUGUAUUCGUGUUACAGUGAUGGCUGAUGGAUGAAUGUUGAAGAUGGAAGCCAGUGUUGCAACUAAAAUGAUGUCUUUCCCUGUCAACGACAUACCGUGAACAUUAUAUUGCCGAAAGUAUUGGGUCAAUCCUUUCCGAUUAACAGAUCUGACUACUUUAGUACUUUUCAUGAGUGCUUCUGAUUUUAUAGUAACAGUUUGAACAGGACCCUUUUCUAACAUGGCAAUGCCUUUGUGUUUUAAAGGCAAAGUUUUAAAAAGAAAUGAUUGAUUCAGUCAGUGUGGAAAAACUUGACUGAGAGCAAAGUCAUAAUGCCAACUGGACACAUCUGGUGUGACUUUAAAUGCAGAUGUUGAGCCCAAAACUCAUCACCAAACACCAAUGACUUGUACAUGUGGGUGCAGUCAUUUUAGACACUUCCAAAAAUGUUGCAACAGAGGUGCAAUCAGUAAACACAUUAAUUAUGUUUCCAUCUUUGGAAGUGCCUUUUUGUAUUGUAAAGAUGGGGGUCUCCCAAUACUUUAGUUUUUUUUAGUUUACAUACAAAUCAUUGGUGUUUGGUGAUGAGUUUUUGGCUCAGGGUCUGUAUUUCAAGUCACACCAGAUGUGUCCAGACAGAAGUUCUUCCACACUGACUGAAUUAAUCAUUUCUUUUUAAACCAUGCCAGAUGCAUUGUCGUGUUAGAAUAGAAAAGGGUAAUGUCCAAACUGUUACUAUAAAAUAGCACAGUUCCCUAGAAUAUAAUUAUAUGCAUAAACAUGUAAGGUUUGCGCUCAUGGAAAUUGCAAAAGCAGUCAGAUCUGUUAAACGGAAGGGGGUGACAUAAAUACUUUUGCCAAUAUAGUGUAGAUGUUAAAAUAGUUGACCUAUACUGGCCUGUGACUGAAGAAAAGAACACCGUACCUUAUAACCCUACUGCAAGUGAACACAACCAACUUCCUAGAAAACAAAAAGUUCUCUAGAUGAAACUUAAUAAAUCAGGAUUUGCAGAAACGCUGUCCUGUAAACCCAUCCAACCAAGAGAUGUGGUAGAAGUUUCUGGAGCCACAUGGAGUCUUUUUUUUUCCUGGAUCAAGAUUUCUGACGUUGAACUAGUGGAUCCAGUCCACUAUUUCAGCCUGUAAACGUUUGAUAAAAAUGAGUUUAAAACAUUAAUUAUUAAAAAAACAAUGUAAACA